rnacentral:rRNA from 1 species
AGAGUUUGAUCCUGGCUCAGGAUGAACGCUGGCGGCGUGCCUAAUACAUGCAAGUCGAACGGAGAACAUCGUAGCAAUACUUUGUUCUUAGUGGCGAACGGGUGAGUAACGCGUUGGUGACCUGCCCCAAAGCGGGGGAUAACAGUCCGAAAGGACUGCUAAUACCCCAUGUGGUCUCAGGGAUUAGAUGCCCUGAGUCUAAAGGAGUAAUCCACUUUGGGAGGGACCUGCGUCCCAUCAGCUAGUUGGUAAGGUAACGGCCUACCAAGGCUUCGACGGGUAGGGGACCUGAGAGGGUGGCCCCCCACAAUGGAACUGAAACACGGUCCAUACACCUACGGGUGGCAGCAGUAGGGAAUAUUGGUAAUGGGCGAAAGCCCGAACCAGCAACGCCGCGUGUGCGAUGAAGGCCUUCGGGUCGUAAAGCACUUUUUGAGAAGAUGAUACAAGACAGUACUCUCAGAAUAAGUCUCGGCUAACUACGUGCCAGCAGCAGCGGUAACACGUAGGAGACAAGCGUUAUCCGGAUUUACUGGGCGUAAAGCGCGUGCAGGCGGUUUGGAAAGUUGGAUGUGAAAGCUCCUGGCUUAACUGGGAGAGGUCAUUCAAAACUACCAGACUUGAGAGUGGUAGAGGAAGGUGGAAUUCCGGGUGUAGUGGUGAAAUGCGUAGAUAUCCGGAGGAACACCAGUGGCGAAAGCGGCCUUCUGGACCAUUUCUGACGCUCAGACGCGAAAGCUAGGGUAGCAAACGGGAUUAGAGACCCCGGUAGUCCUAGCCGUAAACUAUGUUGACUUGGCGUUGGUGGGUUAAUAUCCGCCAGUGCCGUAGCUAACGCGAUAAGUCAACCGCCUGGGGACUACGAUCGCAAGAUUAAAACUCAAAGGAAUUGACGG